CUGCCAGUCUCGGGACCCAGCCACAUAGCUCUCGUCCAGCCUUGUGUCGUGUGCAUGAUUCAGCAGGAGGAAGAAAAGGACUGAGCCACCUUGGAGCUUGAAACAGGAAGAACAGAAGAGAGGUCUAAAAUCAGGGUGAACCAAAACUACCGACUGUAGAGGCCUCCGAUUAAACAGUCGAUGCACCGACAGACACAGAGCUCCUAAAACUCAAAAAUAUUUCUACCUCCGGUUAAUUAUUCAUUGAGAAUUAACAAAGCGGCUGCAGUUUUAGCCACCCCAGGGGUGUGGCUGCGAGAGCCUUGGCUUUGAGCUUUGUUUUUACGAUGCAGCCCUCCAC
rnacentral:lncRNA from 10 species